UUUCAUUUCUUGUUCGCUUAGUUUCCUGAAACCGUCACGUCGUUUUAAUGGUACUACUAGUCAAGACAAGAAAAUCAACAGGCUUUCAGCCUUGAGGCAACAUUGGAUUUUAUUGAGUUUAACAUAAGAAAAAUUGCACUUUUUUUUUAUGUUAUCAACAAAAAAAUCAGUUGAAAUGGGAUUUGAAGUUCCGUGAGUCCGUGAGGUGAGAAUCCCUAACCUGACUCAGAAGAUAAGAUCACCACUUUGCCACUAAU
rnacentral:lncRNA from 1 species